rnacentral:rRNA from 1 species
UACGUAGGGCGCAAGCGUUAUCCGGAAUUAUUGGGCGUAAAGAGCUCGUAGGCGGUUUGUCGCGUCUGCCGUGAAAGUCUGGGGCUCAACUCCGGAUCUGCGGUGGGUACGGGCAGACUAGAGUGAUGUAGGGGAGGACUGGAAUUCCUGGUGUAGCGGUGAAAUGCGUAGAUAUUGGGAGGAACACCAGUGGCGAAGGCGGCUCGCUGGACCGGUUCGUGACGCUGAGGCGCGAAAGCGUGGGGAGCAAACGGG